rnacentral:rRNA from 1 species
UACGGGGGGGGCAAGCGUUGUUCGGAAUUACUGGGCGUAAAGGGCUCGUAGGCGGCCAACUAAGUCAUACGUGAAAUCCCUCAGCUUAACCGGGGAACUGCGUCUGAUACUGGAUGGCUUGAGUGUGGGAGAGGGAUGCGGAAUUCCAGGUGUAGCGGUGAAAUGCGUAGAUAUCUGGAGGAACACCGGUGGCGAAGGCGGCAUCCUGGACCAUUACUGACGCUGAGUGAGCGAAAGCCAGGGGAGCAAACGGG